CCCUCUCCUCUCCUCCGGAUACUUCACCUUCCGAGCUCUUUUCUUUACCUGUCCUCUCCUCCGCCUCCGGCCUCUCCUCCCCUUUGCCGGCUACUUCUGCCUCCCCGUCGACGGCGACUGCGGCGGUUAUCGUCAUCGAGCCCCCCAAUUGGCCGAUCCCAGUCUCACCCGGGACGAGAUCAUCGACGGCUACAUCAAGACCCUCGCUCAGGUCCUCGGAAGGUACUUGAUAAGUAUCGUAGUGCACUUAAAUUGAAUAUUGCCGAGGCCUUGAUUUGUACUCAAGAUUGGGUGUUGGAAAAGAAAGAUGUUGAGAAUGCCGAGUUAGAUGAGAUUGUAGAAGAUGUCAUAAACUCAAGUUUCUACAAUGAAACUCAAUCAACUCAAUGCUCGGCCAAUGUUGAAUCCAAUUCAUAGUGAGAUGAAUUAUGAUCAUGGGAUACUCCCUUUUGGUUUUGGUUUAAAUAUGGAUGUUGUUAUAGUUUGGGACUUUUUUUUAGUUUUGCUUUGACUAUGGAUGUUGUCAUUGGUUAUUGUAAUUUCGGUUAAUAAUUUCAGAUUCUCAAGUAUGCCCUCAUCUAAUGUCACUCUUAACUUUUGCUCAUGUUUUUAUAUUUCUGUAAGUAACUAUGAACUAAAUUGUAAUGCUUUCUUUUCAACUUCAGAUGGGAUAUACUUUGCUAAAGGAAACAGAUUAAAGAAAACAAAAAGGGGCAAUGCUCUCUCUC